UACGUAGGGUGCGAGCGUUAAUCGGAAUUACUGGGCGUAAAGCGUGCGUAGGCGGUUCGUUAUGUCUGCUGUGAAAUCCCCGGGCUCAACCUGGGAAUGGCAGUGGAAACUGGCGGGCUUGAGUGUGGCAGAGGGGGGUGGAAUUCCGCGUGUAGCAGUGAAAUGCGUGGAGAUGCGGAGGAACACCGAUGGCGAAGGCAGCCCCCUGGGCUAACACUGACGCUGAGGCACGAAAGCGUGGGGAGCAAACAGG
rnacentral:rRNA from 1 species